UGAAGGCUGAGACCGCGGUGGGAGCCUCCUGAGACUGGUGGGGUCUUGUCCCAAAGAGCUGGUUGUGCAGAGCAGGGAGGAGUGAAGCUGGGCUGGAGAGUUGGCCUUGGUCCAGAGGCGCUCUCAGUUUCCUUGGGCCAAUCCCAGAGCCCCGGAGACUUUUGGUCUCUUGGUUUGAGAGGCAGGAACAAAUGAACCACCUCUUCUGAAGUUUCCAAACUGCUCUCUUUCCCUCUCCCACCUCCAUACCCUGUACAGGGAGGGGCGGAAGGAGGAAGAUUUUCAGAGUAGACAUCCAAAGUCAACAGGCAGAGUGUCAGGUAACAGGGCCCAGCCCCUCUCAUAAGCCACUGGGGUCCUUCUGCAGAAGUGUUGUUUCCUUGUUCCUGAUCUGAGCCUGGCCUUCAGCCCACAGUUUGCCUGUCGGACGGCCACUGGAAAAAACAUCCUCUGUGAUCCCCUGUGGCCCACGCCCCUCUGAGCCUCAACAUUCUCAUCUGUGCAAUGGCUCUACAGAAGCAAAACUCCCCAAUGCUCUUUUCCUGAACUCUCGUCUCAAGGGCAACAACUGACCUUGCUGGGCAACAUGGAAAACACCUUUGGUCAUGAUAGUCUUGGCGUUUCCUCUCUUAACUAAGAUCCUCGGGGGAGUCAGGAAUUUGUAACAUUAGGGAAAAGAGUGGCCUUUCUUUGACCUUCUUCUCUCAGAGCAGAACUGGUAGAUCUAGACCAAGUCAGCAAAUAAGCAAAGGUUGGGAAUUCAGCCAGAGGUUGGAAAAGGCGGAACAGAGAAGGCUCUGGAUGCUAACCAGGGAAUGUGUGUCUUCAACAAAAUGGGACCAGGGGACAAAGAGUGGCUGACUGGACAGUGCCCCAGUGUUCAUGAUUUCUACAUGCCUCCAGAAGUGUGGGAUAGUGACCUCCCCUACCCCUCUGCUGUCCUUCUGGGUUUCUGCUGACCCCUUGGGGAGCAGGCAGGGGGAUGACAAUUUGUCCUCCUGCUUAGAGUGAAGGGAGCAGGCUGGUCCCGGGGGUGCGGGGAGUAGCCCACAAGCCAAGUGGCAGCCCUUAAUGGGAAGGGAAGAACUUGGUGGGCUGGACCCUGCCAGAGGGUCUGUUGCCUUUUGUGUAGAAUCUGCAUUUUCAUCGAACACUUGUCAAUCCCUUAGCCCUGGGGUAUCUGUACCCUUGGAAAAAAAUCACACAAUUCAUGUCCACUCGGCUUAAGUGCAUUAGAGAUCAUUCCGUGGAAAUACCUUCCUUUUUGUGUCUGAUUAAAGCUGUGUUUAAGCUGAUUCAGGAGUUCCCAGACCACACUGGCUACUGGAGGAGGGGAAGAAAGCCCCAAAACCUUAGUGGAGAACAGUGACAAGUUUCCUGGGUUGUCAAGCAUUUGCCCUGGGUUACCCAAGAUGGACGGACAUCCCCACAGGGAGUGAAAAUCUGGGCUCUAUAAUGCCGGGAAGGACCUCGGGGCAGUGACUGAAAUUUCAGCUCUCUGUUCCAGCUCCAUGAACUUGUACGCUUCGCUUAGCCAGGCUGGGAAUCCACUGCUGGGUGACCAAAGAAAACAAAUCACUGGAAAUGAUUAUAAAACCUUCUACACACGGGCCUGACAGGAAAACAAAGAAAGCUCUCGAAGGUUAAACAGGAAAGGACCUGAACAGAUUCCAGGGCAUAAACCCAAGUGAGGAGGAAGUCAUGGAGGGGUAUGGAUCAAGGAUUUAACCAUGAGGGUAGACUGCUUUGUGUUCAGUUCUCCACUUGCCCUUUCCCUAGGGGUCUAACUUCUUCAUUUCUCUGGCCUCAGCUUUUGCAUCUGGAAAGCGAGAAGUCUCAUGCCUGCCUUAUACAGAACUGUUGCAUCAAAUGCAAGGUGAAAACCAAGGGUGGUGCCUGCUACGUAGAGAUACCAAGGCAAGGAGCAUCCACAACAAGAGCUCUGCCCUCUCGGGGGGGAACCUGCUUGAUUACGGGAAAGUCGGCACUCCCUGCAUGUUGAAUUUAAAUCUCCACGGAGACUUCCCUGAUUCUAGCCUAGUGAUGGAUGUUUCCCUGCCGCUCGUCCCAGUGAUGUGACUACCACGCUAGCUGGGGAUAGAAGACAAAAGCCAAGCCACUGACCAUGCCACGUGGUGGAGUUGGCCCACUUUGUCUGUUUGACUCCUGCCCCGCUGCAGGCAUUAGUUAGCCCAUAGACGAAAGCUAUAGAGACUUGGGGCUGCCCCAUUUCUUUCCAGGUGAGAGUUUCCCUCUGAUCUUAUCUCUGCCCAGCAAUAAACGGUAGGCCCUGAGACUCUGAUCUUGACUCUGCUCUGACACUUUGAACUAUUGCUGGCCCUCCUCCUGGCAGACCUCAGCUUCCCCUAAUGCACCCGGACGUGCCAACCGGUUCUACUUCUGGAAGUCACCCCUGCCUCCAGCCAGUUGGCGAGCACCCUUGCCGGGCUGCUCCCCUCUUUCCCCAAGAUGGCAUUGUCAGACUGGGCUUCUUCCCUGCUGAACCCCAAGCAGACACUGUUACAGGAGGUUGGAGGAAGGAGAGGUCCCUGAGAGGGUUAUCAGGGGGAAGCAGAGGGGAGGCAGGGAAGCUUAUGAAGAGUGGGGUCUGAUCCUUGACAUCAGAGUGGGAACAGGACAGUCUGGUAUGCUUGUAUGGCUUAGCUCAGGGGUUGGCAAAUCCUGGCUCUAGAGCCAGAUCCAACCUGACACCUGUUUCUGUAAAUAAAAUUGUGUUGGCUCACA